rnacentral:rRNA from 1 species
UCUCCUACGGGACGCAGCAGUGGGGGAUAUUGCACAAUGGGGGGAACCCUGAUGCAGCGACGCCGCGUGGGUGAAGGAGUAUUUCGGUAUGUAAAGCCCUAUCGGCAGGGAAGAAGCAAGACGGUACCUGACUAAGAAGCCCCGGCUAACUACGUGCCAGCAGCCGCGGUAAUACGUAGGGGGCAAGCGUUAUCCGGAUUUACUGGGGGUAAAGGGAGCGUAGACGGUCCUGCAAGCCAGAUGUGAAAGCCCGGGGCUCAACCCCGGGACUGCAUUUGGAACUGGAAGGCUAGAGUGUCGGAGAG